rnacentral:rRNA from 1 species
UACGAAGGGUGCAAGCGUUACUCGGAAUUACUGGGCGUAAAGCGUGCGUAGGUGGUUCGUUAAGUCUGAUGUGAAAGCCCUGGGCUCAACCUGGGAAUUGCAUUGGAUACUGGCGGGCUAGAGUGCGGUAGAGGCAGGCGGAAUUCCGGGUGUAGCGGUGGAAUGCGUAGAGAUCCGGAAGAACACCGGUGGCGAAGGCGGCUCUCUGGACCGAGACUGACGCUGAGGCGCGAAAGCGUGGGGAGCAAACAGG